AGUCGAGCGAACAGACGAGGAGCUUGCUCCUCUGACGUUAGCGGCGGACGGGUGAGUAACACGUGGAUAACCUACCUAUAAGACUGGGAUAACUUCGGGAAACCGGAGCUAAUACCGGAUAAUAUAUUGAACCGCAUGGUUCAAUAGUGAAAGACGGUUUUGCUGUCACUUAUAGAUGGAUCCGCGCCGCAUUAGCUAGUUGGUAAGGUAACGGCUUACCAAGGCAACGAUGCGUAGCCGACCUGAGAGGGUGAUCGGCCACACUGGAACUGAGACACGGUCCAGACUCCUACGGGAGGCAGCAGUAGGGAAUCUUCCGCAAUGGGCGAAAGCUUGACGGAGCAACGCCGCGUGAGUGAUGAAGGUCUUCGGAUCGUAAAACUCUGUUAUUAGGGAAGAACAAAUGUGUAAGUAACUAUGCACGUCUUGACGGUACCUAAUCAGAAAGCCACGGCUAACUACGUGCCAGCAGCCGCGGUAAUACGUAGGUGGCAAGCGUUAUCCGGAAUUAUUGGGCGUAAAGCGCGCGUAGGCGGUUUUUUAAGUCUGAUGUGAAAGCCCACGGCUCAACCGUGGAGGGUCAUUGGAAACUGGAAAACUUGAGUGCAGAAGAGGAAAGUGGAAUUCCAUGUGUAGCGGUGAAAUGCGCAGAGAUAUGGAGGAACACCAGUGGCGAAGGCGACUUUCUGGUCUGU
rnacentral:rRNA from 1 species